rnacentral:rRNA from 1 species
AGAUACCGUCGUAGUCCUAACUAUAAACGAUGUCAACCAAGGAUUGGAUUAGUUUUAGAGUGACAGAAGUCCGGUAACACCGUUGCUGGGCUGACGGAUCUCGCUUCCACCUUAUUCAGAACUUAAAGAGAAAUCUUGAGUUUAUGGACUUCAGGGGGAGUAUGGUCACAAGGCUGAAACUUAAAGGAAUUGACGGAAGGGCACACCAGGAGUGGAGCCUGCGGCUUAAUUUGACUCAACACGGGAAAACUUACCAAGACCG